rnacentral:rRNA from 1 species
AGCGAACGCUGGCGGCAGGCCUAACACAUGCAAGUCGAACGAACCUUUCGGGGUUAGUGGCGGACGGGUGAGUAACACGUGGGAACGUGCCUUUAGGUUCGGAAUAACUCAGGGAAACUUGUGCUAAUACCGAAUGUGCCCUUCGGGGGAAAGAUUUAUCGCCUUUAGAGCGGCCCGCGUCUGAUUAGCUAGUUGGUUGAGGGAAUGGCUCACCAAGGCGACGAUCAGUAGCUGGUCUGAGAGGAUGAACAGCCAAAUUGGGACCGAGACACGGCCCAAACUCACAGGUGUGGAGGUAGUGGCAAAUAUUCAGAAAUGAGCAAACGCCAGACGCCGUCAUGCCGCGUGAAUAAUGAUGAUCUAAUGAUUAUACCAUUGUUCCCCCGUGGAGAAAAAUGACCAAACCAGUAGCAGACCCCCCUGCUACUUCAGCGCCACAAGCCGAGGUAUUCCAGGAACAUCACCCGGCAGACC